UACGUAGGGUGCGAGCGUUGCCCGGAUUUAUUGGGCGUAAAGGGCUCGUAGGCGGCCAACUAAGUCAGACGUGAAAUCCCCAGGCUCAACCUGGGAACUGCGUCUGAUACUGGAUGGCUUGAAUCCGGGAGAGGGAUGCAGAAUUCCAGGUGUAGCGGUGAAAUGCGUAGAUAUCUGGAGGAAUACCGGUGGCGAAGGCGGCAUCCUGGACCGGCAUUGACGCUGAGGAGCGAAAGCCAGGGGAGCAAACGGG
rnacentral:rRNA from 1 species